GAUUACAGGUAUGAGCCACCAGUGCGGGGCUCACAUUAACUUCUGAAACAAAUGUAAUCAUAGGUGAGAUUCCAUGCUUCUCUAGGAUAUCUAAGUGGUUACCAAUAGCUGAGAGCCAUUUUCCUAUUUUUUAUGUGGUUUGAUUAUAAUAUUUUUAUGUUUGACUAUUUUGCAGUAAGAAGAGUGGUAAGGACUCCUCUCCUUCACUUUAAGCAGAAUGCUGUAUUUUCCUUCCAAAUUCUUUUCACUGCCUUCGGUGUACUCUCUCAGUGUGUGUGUGUGUGUGUGUGUGUGUGUG